rnacentral:ncRNA from 2 species
CGACGUCUUCAGGGCGGGGCGAAACUCCCCACCGGCGGUAGGUGCCUUCGGGCACGAGCCCGCGAGCGCUCGCGACGCCCGUCGCGAGGUCAGCAGAUCCGGUCCAAGUCCGGAGCCGACGGUCACAGUCCGGAUGAAAGAAGACGGCC